rnacentral:rRNA from 1 species
UACAGAGGUCCCAAGCGUUAGGCGGAAUCACUGGGCUUAAAGCGUGUGUAGGCGGAUUUGUAAGUACCUUGUGAAAUCCCACGGCUCAACCGUGGAACUGCUUGGUAUACUGCUUAUCUUGGGUCGUCUAGGGGCGAGCGGAACAAACGGUGGAGCGGUGAAAUGCGUAGAUAUCGUUUGGAACGCCAAUGGUGAAAACAGCUCGCUGGGGACGUACCGACGCUGAGACACGAAAGCCAGGGGAGCGAACGGG